rnacentral:sRNA from 1 species
GCCAGGUGCGGUGGUGGGUGCCUGUAAUCCCAGCUACUCAGGAGGCCGAGGCAGGAGAAUCACUUGAGCCCAGGAAGCAGAGGUUGUAGUGAGCAGAGAUUGCACCACUGCACUCCCGCCUGGGCAACAGAGUGAGACUCCGUCUCAA